AUUUCCAGUUUUCAAUUGUCAUUGCCAUUGGUGAGCAACAAGUCAUAGCCUCUUCUAAUAACUAAUUUAAAAAAAAUUCAAUUGCUGGAGAUAUACAAAAGUUAUUACAUUGCAGACAAAAAGUGAGCAUUCGUGAAGUGCCCAAUGCAACAGGAAACUAGUCGUGCUGAAAGGAUAACUGCCUGAGGCUUACAACUUGUAUAGCCUAUACGUCGUUACAGAUUCUGGAAAGCGUUCAUAUCUGUGUCGUGCAAAUGAAAUUGACGCAUAGCUUUCGAGCACGGUCGUAUCCGGGAGAUCGCUUGAUCGUGGUUUGAAUUGGUGUAAGUCAACGCUGAUUUCGUGAGCUGAUAGGCAGCAUCAUGUCACUCGUUUUCACUGUCACCAACAGGAUUUUCAAGUGACUCCCUGGCAAAAUAAGCCCUACAUUUUCGUUGGGCUUAAAAAGUCUGACUCGACUUCGGUUUUAUUUCAUUUUUUGCUGAAAUCCAAAUACAGCAAGCUAUGCAAGAUUUCGAUUUAAAGCUAAACGGGGAUUAAGAAAAUUGACUUCGUUUGAUUCACAGAACUUGUUAUAAAAACAGAGAACCAGAGGUUGCUUAUCAAAAAAGGCCUAAAUCUAACAGAAACAAGUCUGAAGUUGAAGGCCAACUAAAGACCAAAACACCAUUUGCAUUUCUGGAUCAGACCAACAAUUCCUUAAUCGAACAUCGGUUUAGCAAGACUGUCAUUAUGAAAAUCAGCCAAAGUUCAAAAGAAGUCAAACAUCGUUAACACGGUAACAGUUUAUUGGAUCAAAAAAUACAGUCAUAAAUGCAAUGCAGUCUGCGGAGGACCGUUGCUUGUCGAAAAGAAAAGACUUUUGAAAUGUAUGAGCUGAUCAACUACAGUACUUUGCGAGUCUUUUAUAUGAAAUUAGGAGCGCUAUUAAAGUGCAUUUUGUUACGUGUUAUUUUCAGAAGGUAUGACAAAGAGGCCAUCUGUGGCCAAGCACCUUGUUGACCUAUAUACAAUAACCCGUUUCAUUUGACAAACAAUAAUUGCACGUGGCCCUGUUGUCAACGAGAAACAAACAGGAUGCUGGCACGGUGUAAGUGACCUGCCCGACUUGCGAAUGAAAUGUAGCGUGAUGCGUGUGGCACAUGUGGUACGAAAUCCGCGUCUGUCGCUACUGCGUCAGCAUGCCACCGGUUGACACGUAAAAUGUUCGAGAUAUUUCUAACAAACGAAAACAGUAAAACACACGGCGAAACGAUGCUGUGGUCCCAUCUUUACUCUAUCAUCACUGUUUGCCACAAUCAGGUGUUUAAGAAUUAAUGGAAGAUGUGAUCCCUUUACAUAAAAUGCUUUAACCAAUAUGAAAAAAUUAAAACUCAUGAGAUUUUAAUAGCAGGUAAUAUGUAUAAGUUUACGGUGCAAAAGAUAAACAAACAAUGACUGUUGAAAUUCGAUGCAUACGGCUUGUGCAGGGUUUGUGUACGAGUUCAAAACCCCAUCGUUUACGUGAAAUGAUUGAAUACCGUGGAGUACCUUAAAAAUUGUCAUGUCUGUAAUUUACGUGUACCCAAUACAGCAAUAGGAAUAGC